UACGUAGGGUGCAAGCGUUGUCCGGAAUUAUUGGGCGUAAAGAGCUCGUAGGCGGUCUGUCGCGUCGGAUGUGAAAAUCCAGGGCUCAACCCUGGACCUGCAUUCGAUACGGGCAGACUAGAGGUAGGCAGGGGAGAGCGGAACUCCUGGUGUAGCGGUGGAAUGCGCAGAUAUCAGGAGGAACACCGAUGGCGAAGGCAGGUCUCUGGGCCACUACUGACGCUGAGAAGCGAAAGCAUGGGGAGCGAACAGG
rnacentral:rRNA from 1 species